rnacentral:tRNA from 1 species
UCCCCGAUAGUCUAGUGGUGAGGAUAUCUGCUUGUCAUGCAGGGGACCGGGGUUUAAUUCCCCGUCGAGAGAU